UAGGGAAUCUUCGGCAAUGGACGAAAGUCUGACCGAGCAACGCCGCGUGAGUGAAGAAGGUUUUCGGAUCGUAAAACUCUGUUGUUAGAGAAGAACAAGGACGUUAGUAACUGAACGUCCCCUGACGGUAUCUAACCAGAAAGCCACGGCUAACUACGUGCCAGCAGCCGCGGUAAUACGUAGGUGGCAUGCGUUGUCCGGAUUUAUUGGGCGUAAAGCGAGCGCAGGCGGUUUCUUAAGUCUGAUGUGAAAGCCCCCGGCUCAACCGGGGAGGGUCAUUGGAAACUGGGAGACUUGAGGGCAGAAGAGGAGAGUGGAAUUCCAGGUGUAGCGGUGAAAUGCGUAGAUAUAUGGAGAAAAACCAGUGGCGAAGGCGGCUAUCUGGUCUGUAACUGACGCUGAGGCUCGAAAGCGUGGGGAGCAAACAGA
rnacentral:rRNA from 1 species